UCCUUCCGCGCGCCCACGUCGACGCGGAUCUCCCUGCCGCCGUCGCGGACGCGGACCUCGAUCGCAUCCUUGUCAUACCCUGCACGCACGCACACGCACGAACGUCACCACUAACUGCUCAUCCGUGCUCGCAUCAAUAGCACACCACGACGGUCGGCGCAGUGCAACGCCGAUGAUGCUUAGCUUAAUUACCUGGGAGGUGGGCGAGGACGAGGAAGGCGUCGUCGGUCUCGGUGGUGGUGAAGGCGAAGUCUUGGCCGGCGACGGCCUGCCGGGUCUCUUGCAGGGCGAGGUCGAGGUCCAUGGCCUAGCUGCUCGUGGCGUGUGCGCAUCAUCUGCCGCAGGGCGCAGUGCGAAGCUGGUCACGUGUGGAUCGAAUAGACGCCGCGCGCGGCUGUGGGUACUCUUCUGUACGUAAAAUCCUAAGCGCGCGCGGAAAUUUAGGAUUUUCCUUUAGCAUUUUAGGGGCCGAUGCUUUUUUUAUUUUAUUUUAGAAAAGGGGGGGCGAUGCUUUGGAUGCACGUAUGCGUUCCUUGGCGACAUGGGUUUGGUGGAGAUGCUUGUGUUGUGCUUUGGCGCGGUGACAAGGGCAACGAAGGACAAUGCACUUGAGAAACAG
rnacentral:lncRNA from 1 species